UACGUAGGUGGCAAGCGUUGUCCGGAUUUACUGGGCGUAAAGCGCGCGCAGGUGGCCUAUCUGGUCUGGGGUGAAAUCUCCCGGCUCAACCGGGAGGAGUCUCCAGAUACCGAUGGGCUUGAGGAGAGCAGAGGAGAGCAGAAUUCCCGGUGUAGCGGUGAUAUGCGUAGAUAUCGGGAGGAAUACCAGUGGCGAAAGCGGCUCUCUGGGCUCUAUCUGACGCUCAGGCGCGAAAGCGUGGGGAGCAAACCGG
rnacentral:rRNA from 1 species